GCGGUAGCACCGCCUCGGCCCCGGCCCCGGCCCCGGCCUGCGGAGGUCUGCCUCCCGGGGAGGGGGAGGAGGCAGGGGAAAGGACAGCAAGCGGAACACCCCCCGCGAACUAAAAAAGGAAAGGGAAAAAAACACCCAAACAAAACAAACCGGGAAAAAGGGGCUCCUUCGUGGGACAUCUUUAAAGCUCAGCACUACGCCAGGCAUCCGAGUCCCAGUAAAACCCACCACGGUAGUGAAACGCACCACAGUAACGGGAGGAAAGCUGGCUGCGGCCGCUGCGCCGAAGUCCUGCAUGCUUUAGAGUCGCCUUGGCUUUCGGGCUGGAGGAUGAUUCCUGCAACAGGACCGUUUUGCUGCUGACGAACCGCGGGGGUCAUGGGAAGAUGCCUUCCUUGAGGAUUACACGUGGAGAAAGGCCAUCAGUCAAGGGGAGAGCUGGCUGGUGAAGCUGUCUGACUUUCCCCCCACCACCACCCCCCCUCCCCCCUCACCGGGGAGGUGGCUUCAAUGGCUCCAUCUCCCAGGAGAAGCAGUAGGAAAGAUGCCAACGCCUUGCCAAGCAUGUCCUCAACUUUCUGGGCUAUUAUGAUCCUGGCUAGUCUCCUAAUCGCUUACUGCAAUUAUAACAGCUAUUUUGGAGCGGAUAACCCUCAAUGGCUGUAUAUGAGACAUUGCCCGGGGUGCUUCCAAGAUGCUUUUGAGCUGGGUCAACUGGCUGCAGGUACAUGUGAGAUUGUUACUUUGGACAGAGAUAGCAGUCAGCCCCGAAGGACUAUAGCCCGACAAACAGCUCGCUGUGCAUGUAAAAAAGGACAGAUUGCCGGUACAACAAGAGCAAGGCCAGCCUGUGUUGAUGCACGAAUUAUCAAAACAAAACAGUGGUGUGAAAUGCUUCCAUGUUUAGAAGGAGAAGGCUGUGAUUUGCUAAUCAAUAAAUCAGGCUGGACCUGUACACAACCAGGAGGACGGAUAAAGACAACCACGACUGAAGACCAGCUGGAAAUGUCCUGAGGCCAUGGUCUAGUGGUCUGAGCUUGGGACUGGGAGCCAGAAACUCCUGAGCUCUAAUCCCGGCUCUGACAGUGACUCCCUCUGUGGCCUUGGCCUGUCUGAGGCCAUGUGGUUUGGAGAUCUGAUCACUAGUCCGAAAAGGAAAGGCUGUUUGCAAGAUUUCUGGGGUGUUUUUUCCUGGAAAAGGUCUCCUGACAAAUGCAGCAACACAGAAUCCUCGUAGGAGUGGUUUAGGCUCUCUGUGAGCUCCUUAACUUAGUCAAGUUUCACUGCUGUGGAUCAUCGUCUGUUAUAUGUCAUCAACUCAGCUGUCUGUUUCUCUGUAUCUCAUGAAUGACAGCAUAAUUUCUCUACAUUAUGAGCUAAAGUUUGUUCUACCAUACUAAGGAUCACUGGACUAAGGAAUAUAGAAAAAAAUAUAUGCUUGGGCAUUAGCAAUACAAAAAAGUUCAUGGUUAACGUUUCAUCUGCGUUAUACACCACUGCUGGACUCGCUGUUACCUACAUGUUUUGAUCUGAAGAGUCUGCUACAAUGAAGAGUAUCAUCCCAAUCAGCCUUAGAGAAGACUGUUUUGCCUAUGGGAGGACACUGAGGUGCAAAAGAGAAACUCUUCUUGUGCCCUAAACUGUCUGAAUUGCUUUUAUUUUCUUAUACUUUCAGUAUAUACAAUAGACCAAAGAGCAAAAUCUAUUUUAAAGUGGACACAAUCUUACUGUUAACAGAGUUAUGUCAUUAAAUUGUAGGAGGUCUCCACAAGGACAUGAUUCCAGCUUUCACAAAGCUGAGAUGCUCUUGUCCAGCAUAAGUCUCUAUGGAAAGCUGCAGUAAAAACUAACUCAGAGACCUGCUCUUGAAAUGCCACGUUUGAGAAAACAUAAUGGAGCACUGAGAGAAAAUGACCUAUGUUUGAAAAACUUGGACAAAAAGAACACAAACUGUCUACACAGCACCUUUAUUCCUCUGUACUUAGAUUGACUUUCUCGUACUAAAAUCAUUUUCAGUUUUAACCAGUUAAACAUGCCUCUUCUACAGUUCCAUUUUUGAUAGUUAAAGUUGGAUAAUACAGUAUUUGCAAAGAGCAUGUUUGGUCAUCUGUGGCCUAUGUCUCAUCUGAUACACCAUUUAGCACCAGAAAGCAAAUUAAAGAGAAAACAAAAGUAACACUUGUUUGAAAGAGAUCAUUAAAUGUAUUUUGAAAAGCCUAAAGUUAUAUAUUUAACAGUUUUUAUAUGUUGUAUAUUUGUAGAAAAUCCUAUUUAACAAUUAACGUGAUAACUCUGACAGUCAUGACAAGUGGUUCAGAGUUAAGUUGUGUUUUAUUACUUCAGUUGUCUCUGAAGUGACUGGUGUCGUUUGCUUUCUUCCAUUGGGACAUUCUGGAUGUAAAGCAUGACCAGAGAGGACUGUGUAGAAAAAGCAAAGAAUAAUGUUGUUUAUAUUACAUAAAUGCAUUCAACCAUUGCA